CAUGCAAGUCGAGCGAAUCGAUGGGAGCUUGCUCCCUGAGAUUAGCGGCGGACGGGUGAGUAACACGUGGGCAACCUGCCUAUAAGACUGGGAUAACUUCGGGAAACCGGAGCUAAUACCGGAUACGUUCUUCUCUCGCAUGAGAGAAGAUGGAAAGACGGUUUACGCUGUCACUUAUAGAUGGGCCCGCGGCGCAUUAGCUAGUUGGUGAGGUAAUGGCUCACCAAGGCGACGAUGCGUAGCCGACCUGAGAGGGUGAUCGGCCACACUGGGACUGAGACACGGCCCAGACUCCUACGGGAGGCAGCAGUAGGGAAUCUUCCGCAAUGGACGAAAGUCUGACGGAGCAACGCCGCGUGAACGAAGAAGGCCUUCGGGUCGUAAAGUUCUGUUGUUAGGGAAGAACAAGUACCAGAGUAACUGCUGGUACCUUGACGGUACCUAACCAGAAAGCCACGGCUAACUACGUGCCAGCAGCCGCGGUAAUACGUAGGUGGCAAGCGUUGUCCGGAAUUAUUGGGCGUAAAGCGCGCGCAGGCGGUUCCUUAAGUCUGAUGUGAAAGCCCACGGCUCAACCGUGGAGGGUCAUUGGAAACUGGGGAACUUGAGUGCAGAAGAGGAGAGCGGAAUUCCACGUGUAGCGGUGAAAUGCGUAGAGAUGUGGAGGAACACCAGUGG
rnacentral:rRNA from 1 species